GGAGAAGUACUCAAGUGGUCGAAGAGGUGCCCCUGCUAAGGGCAUAGGCUGCGAAAGUGGCGCGAGGGUUCGAAUCCCUCCUUCUCCG
rnacentral:tRNA from 1 species